rnacentral:lncRNA from 1 species
AUGUUCACUCAUCAUCAGAAGAUUGUUGUUGUAGACCAUGAGAUGCCUAAUAAGAGUUCUCAGCAGCGGAGAAUUGUGAGCUUUGUUGGAGGCAUUGACCUUUGUGACGGAAGAUAUGAUACACAGUUUCAUUCUCUUUUCAGGACCUUGGACACAGCUCAUCAUGAUGAUUUCCAUCAGCCAAAUUUCGCUGAUGCAUCAAUCAAGAAAGGUGGACCUAGAGAACCUUGGCAUGACAUUCAUUCACGGCUAGAAGGACCUAUUGCUUGGGAUGUGUUGUACAAUUUUGAGCAGAGAUGGAGGAAGCAAGGGGGUAAAGAUCUUCUGGUGCAGCUUAGGGAUCUGGCUGACAUUGUCAU